rnacentral:sRNA from 1 species
GAUUAUGUAUAUAUAAUAUUUCAACGAAUCGUGCUCUCAUUCAUGUAAAACCGAUCUUCCAAUACUAAAUUGCACACCAUUACAAUUUCACAUCUACCAUGCCUAUAUGUAUUCGUGUACGUAAAACAUUUAUCUUUACAUAAUUCACCAGAUACAUAAUUAGUAGUGUACGUACAUAUUCUUUCAUAAAUGUACGAGUGUACGUUAACUUCGAUUUUAUAAUUGUAAUUUGGGUAAUUGGAAUAUAAAAGUCUAAAUAUAAUUUAUGUUAAGUAUAUAACUAUAUUUUGAAUACCCAUUCGGUUCUCAAUUUGCUUUGGAUAAUUUUGGGUUUACAAAUACAAAAAGAAUCUCCAACAAAACAAUUUAUGAAUCCAGAAAUUUUUAAAAACGUAUAAUUAUUUUCAUAUCACGUUCUCAAGUGUAAUUAAUAGGAUUAACACGAAUUUCUUACCCAGAACACAGAUUAUUUCCCCUUGAAUCCUUCAAACUUUGUAAAACAGCAACUGAAAACUUCAGAUACUUCACCGUAACACAAUUUCGAUUUUCGUUUUUUUCCCAGAAUUCUAAUCUCAAUUAUGUAAAUAUCUUACAAUAUAAUCUCUAUUAUAAUAGGUAAUCAUGAGUUUUAGUUUUGUCGAAACUUUUUAGCAUUAAAAACUUCUGAACCCAACCAAUUUUAAAUUUUUUUAAUUCCAAUCUCAAGUGUCAAAUUCGCCGAAACCCAGAAAACAUUUAAUGCAUUUCUCGUCGAUGAACAGUGUACGUACAAACCCGGUUCUCUUGGAUUCCAACGACGCGGUCCGUACGUACAAACCGGAUUCAGUUUCGUCAAGGGCAUUUUGGUCAGUUUUUGGCUGAAUGGCUAAGAAAUGAAAGGCUCAGCCCACAGUGUCAAAAUCUGAAAUUAAAAGUAUGUUAUUCCUAGAUUAGAGUCGUCGCUGCCAUAUUUUGUUGGGCCAAAGACACAAGAAAGCCCAUAAUAAGAUGGGCUUAUAGUUUAUUAUAUAUACGACUGAAAACCCUAAAAAUCAAAAAGCCACCGGCACUGCACGUUCGCCACAAUGUCGAUAUCGGAGCUUUCACAAGACUUGUUAGAGGAGAUACUCUGUCGCGUUCCUGCCAUAUCCCUAAAAAAGUUACGAUCUACUUGCAAGCUAUGGAACAGUUUAUUC